GACGAACGCUGGCGGCGUGCUUAACACAUGCAAGUCGAACGGAAAGGCCCUGCUUUUGUGGGGUGCUCGCGUGGCGAACGGGUGAGUAACACGUGAGUAACCUGCCCUUGACUUUGGGAUAACUUCAGGAAACUGGGGCUAAUACCGGAUAGGAGCUCCUGCUGCAUGGUGGGGGUUGGAAAGUUUCGGCGGUUGGGGAUGGACUCGCGGCUUAUCAGCUUGUUGGUGGGGUAGUGGCUUACCAAGGCUUUGACGGGUAGCCGGCCUGAGAGGGUGAGCGGCCGCGUAGGGACUGAGAUACGGCCGAGACUCCUACGGGAGGCAGCAGUGGGGAAUAUUGCACAAUGGGCGGAAGCCUGAUGCAGCAACGCCGCGUGCGGGAUGACGGCCUUCGGGUUGUAAACCGCUUUCGCCUGUGACGAAGCGUGGGUGACGGUAAUGGGUAAAGAAGCACCGGGUAAGUACGUG
rnacentral:rRNA from 1 species